CUUGGUCAUUUAGAGGAAGUAAAAGUCGUAACAAGGUUUCCGUAGGUGAACCUGCGGAAGGAUCAUUAUUGAAUGAACUUGGUGUGGUUGUUGCUGGCCCUUUCGGGGGCAUGUGCACGCCGACCAUCCUCAUCUCUCCACCUGUGCACCUCUUGUAGACUUGAAUUGACUUUCCGAGGUAACUCGGUCGGGAGGAUUGCCGGCACCAGCUGGCUUUCUUUGCAUUUUCAGGUCUAUGUUUUUCAUAUACCCCAUUGUAUGUAACAGAAUGUAACAUUGGGCCCUUGUGCCUAUAAACCUUAUACAACUUUCAGCAACGGAUCUCUUGGCUCUCGCAUCGAUGAAGAACGCAGCGAAAUGCGAUAAGUAAUGUGAAUUGCAGAAUUCAGUGAAUCAUCGAAUCUUUGAACGCACCUUGCGCUCCUUGGUAUUCCGAGGAGCAUGCCUGUUUGAGUGUCAUUAAAUUCUCAACCUUUAUCAACUUUUGCUGAUAAUGGCUUGGAUAUGGGGGUUUAUUUUGCUGGCUUCUUUAUAGAUGGUCAGCUCCCCUUAAAUACAUUAGCCGGUGCCCCGCGUGGACUGUCUAUUGGUGUGAUAAUUAUCUACGCCGUGGACAUCUGCAAUCAUAUGGGUUUGCACUGCUUCCAACCGUCUGUUCGAUCAGACUAUACAUGACAAUUUGACCUCAAAUCAGGUAGGACUACCCGCUGAACUUAAGCAUAUCAAUAAGCGGAGGAAAAGAAACUAACAAGGAUUCCCCUAGUAACUGCGAGUGAAGCGGGAAAAGCUCAAAUUUAAAAUCUGGCGGUCUCCGGCCGUCCGAGUUGUAAUCUAGAGAAGUGUUAUCCGCGCUGGACCGUGUACAAGUCUCCUGGAAUGGAGCGUCAUAGAGGGUGAGAAUCCCGUCUUUGACACGGACUGCCAGGGCUUUGUGAUGCGCUCUCAAAGAGUCGAGUUGUUUGGGAAUGCAGCUCAAAAUGGGUGGUAAAUUCCAUCUAAAGCUAAAUAUUGGCGAGAGACCGAUAGCGAACAAGUACCGUGAGGGAAAGAUGAAAAGAACUUUGGAAAGAGAGUUAAACA
rnacentral:rRNA from 1 species